rnacentral:rRNA from 1 species
GACGAACGCUGGCGGCGUGCUUAACACAUGCAAGUCGAACGGAAAGGCCCUGCUUUUGUGGGGUGCUCGAGUUGCGAACGGGUGAGUAACCCGUGGGUACCCUGCCCCUGACUUUGGGAUAACUUCAGGAAACUGGGGCUAAUACCGCAUAGGAGCUCCUGCUGCAUGGUGGGGGUUGGAAAGUUUCGGCGGUUGGGGAUGGACUCGCGGCUUAUCAGCUUGUUGGUUGGGUAGUGGCUUACCAAGGCUUUGACGGGUAGCCGGCCUGGGCGGGUGGGCGGCCACAUCGGGACUGAGAUACGGCCCAGACUCGUACGGGAGGCAAGGGUGGGGAAGAGUAUACAGUGGGAGGAGGGCUGAUGUAGCAACGCCGCGUGGGGGAUGAGGGGCAUGGGGUUGUAUAGUGAUUUCGCCUGAGACGAAGCGUGAGUGACGGUAACGGGUGAAGAAGCACCGGCUAACUACGUG